CCUACGGGGCGCAGCAGUAGGGAAUAUUGCUCAAUGGGGGAAACCCUGAAGCAGCAACGCCGCGUGGAGGAUGAAGGUUUUCGGAUUGUAAACUCCUUUUGUUAGAGAAGAUAAUGACGGUAUCUAACGAAUAAGCACCGGCUAACUCCGUGCCAGCAGCCGCGGUAAUACGGAGGGUGCAAGCGUUACUCGGAAUCACUGGGCGUAAAGAGGGCGUAGGCGGGAUAGCAAGUCAGAUGUGAAAUCCUAUGGCUUAACCAUAGAACUGCAUUUGAAACUGUUAUUCUAGAGUAUGGGAGAGGUAGGUGGAAUUCUUGGUGUAGGGGUAAAAUCCGUAGAGAUCAAGAGGAAUACUCAUUGCGAAGGCGACCUGCUAGAACAUAACUGACGCUGAGGCGCGAAAGCGUGGGGAGCAAACAGGAUUAGAUACCCGAGUAGUC
rnacentral:rRNA from 1 species